UACGAAGGGGGCUAGCGUUGCUCGGAAUCACUGGGCGUAAAGCGCACGUAGGCGGAUUGCUAAGUCAGGGGUGAAAUCCUGGAGCUCAACUCCAGAACUGCCUUUGAUACUGGCGAUCUUGAGUCCGGGAGAGGUGAGUGGAACUGCGAGUGUAGAGGUGAAAUUCGUAGAUAUUCGCAAGAACACCAGUGGCGAAGGCGGCUCACUGGACCAGUACUGACGCUGAGGCACGAAAGCGUGGGGAGCAAACAGG
rnacentral:rRNA from 1 species